AUAACCUUCCUAGGGUACUUACCCAAGAUAAUAUAUUGUUUCCUUUUAAAUGGAAAGCCAAACAAAACACUUAACUGGCUGAUGCAUUUCUGAGUCUUCUGCUCUUGCUAGACAUCACUAUCAUGAUCAUUUGUGGUGACUCUACAUUUUUUUUUUUUUGAGACGGAGUCUCGCUCUGUUACCCAGACUGGAGUGCGGUGGCAAAAUCUUGGCUCUUUGCAAGCUCCGCCUCCCAGGUUCACGCCAUUCUCUGCCUUAGCCUCCCCAGUAGCUGGGAUUACAGGCAUGCACCACAACGCCCGGCUAAUUUUUUG
rnacentral:lncRNA from 10 species